AAGUCUAAUUCUAAUUCGGUUAGAAUUAAAUUCUUACUUAUAAUCUAUACAAGUCAAAUUAAAUCUAAAUUAUAUUUUAUCCUAAUUAGAUUAGAAUUUACUUUCAAUUUAGAUAACUACAAAUCUAAACGAAAUAUAACAAAUUUUAAAUAAAAAAACUGAGUUUGCGGGAAUUAGUUUUGGAGAAGCAGUUUUUUUCUAAUUCUGAUUUUGGGACUUGAAAAAUUAGUUUCCUGAUUCUAAAAAACAAAAUCAGAUUUUCCAACUCUUAGGGAUCAUUUGGUUAGAUAUAAUUACAAAAACAAUAUAGUUGGAAAUACAUACAAUUGUAAACGCUGUAGUCAUGACUACACCUAGGGCGCAUUUGGUUUGAAGUUGGAAUCAGAAUCGGAAUCGAAAUCGAAAUAAGCUGGAAUCGGAAUCGGAAUGAGUCAUUAUCUAAUUUUGUUUGGUUCGUUACCUGAAUUGGAAUCGGAAUAAAUCAUUUCCAUUGUUGGUGUUUGGUUCAAGUAGAUAUAAAAAACAUAAUCAAAUUAAUAUGCUAACUUUAUCUUUAUAAUAUAUUUAUUUAAAUUCAAAUUGAAAUUAAAUAUUAAAAAUUUACAUCAAAAUUUUGAAAUAAUGUCAAAAUUUUAAAUAUAUAUUUUUUUUAAAAAAAAUUAAACUUUGAAGUUGAGUAGAUAAUUCAAAAUAUAAAACUAAAUUUUGAUUUA
rnacentral:lncRNA from 1 species